rnacentral:rRNA from 1 species
GACGAACGCUGGCGGCGUGCCUAACACAUGCAAGUCGAACGGAAAGGCCCUGCUUUUGUGGGGUGCUCGAGUGGCGAACGGGUGAGUAACACGUGAGUAACCUGCCCUUGACUUUGGGAUAACUUCAGGAAACUGGGGCUAAUACCGGAUAGGAGCUCCUGCUGCAUGGUGGGGGUUGGAAAGUUUCGGCGGUUGGGGAUGGACUCGCGGCUUAUCAGCUUGUUGGUGGGGUAGUGGCUUACCAAGGCUUUGACGGGUAGCCGGCCUGAGAGGGGGACCGGCCACAUUGGGACUAAGAUACGGCCCAGACUCCUACGGGAGGCAGCAGUGGGGAAUAUUACACAAUGGGCGGAAGCCUGAUGCCGCAACGCCGCGUGCGGGAUGACGGCCUUCGGGUUGUAAACCGCUUUCGCCUGUGACGAAGCGUGAGUGACGGUAAUGGGUAAAGAAGCACCGGCUAACUACGUG